UACGUAGGGUGCAAGCGUUGUCCGGAAUUACUGGGCGUAAAGGGCUCGUAGGCGGCCAACUAAGUCAGACGUGAAAUCCCUCGGCUUAACCGGGGAACUGCAUCUGAUACUGGAUGGCUUGAGUUCGGGAGAGGGAUGCGGAAUUCCAGGUGUAGCGGUGAAAUGCGUAGAUAUCUGGAGGAACACCGGUGGCGAAGGCGGCAUCCUGGACCGGCACUGACGCUGAGGAGCGAAAGCCAGGGGAGCAAACGGG
rnacentral:rRNA from 1 species